ACGGCGCAGAGUCGAGCGCAAGGUCGGCCGCAGCAACAACUCUGCCGAUAUAGGCCGUCCUGUUAGAAUUGUUGUUGCUGUUGUUGGGACUCGAGUGCGAAUCAGACCAAGGUCGUCAUCAUCGUCAAAAGAAAACUUUAAUAAAGAGAGUUGAAGUCCAGCGCAACAACAACAAAAACCGCCACCUUUCACGUGUGUGGUAGAGUAUAGUAGUGGGGGCGGGCAAGCUGGUUUUCACGCCGGCCUGCACAGCCAAAAUGCACAGGCCACUUUGUGUACAUACCCUCGAAGAAAGAAAGAAAAUCAAAUUCAAUAUCAAAAGGGGAAUAAGACACACGUGGAAUUGUUGAGGCCCAUCGGAGAGCAAAUAUUUUGUGAACGGUGGUUGAGUUUCCCGUCCGGCUCGGCGUGAUGGCGUGACCUCCGUUAUAUUAGUUUAGACGCUGUAAUACAAACUCUAAGGGCAUAUAUGCUGCAUGCGUGGGUUCUUCCAGCAAGUCUAUUAUACGGGAAAAGAGAGAGAGAGAUUGCCACGGCCGAGACAAAGGAGGUUUCACCUUGAAUAGAUCUCUCGUUGUUGGAAAUAUUUCAAAUUGCGUCUUAGAUUUUUACGGCACACAAAUCGCGUUUCGUGCCGACACAAAUGCGUAUGUAUACUGUAGUACACUAGAUGCAUAUUUCCUCCAACCCAUUUCUUCUUUUCCAGCGCACCCCGCGUCGUCCUAUACGAAGGAUAUUUAGUCUAAAUCAGUUUAGUCUCCAUGUCCAGAUUUCCUUAUUAUGUCUGGAUAACACUACUGGUCAUCGCACCAUUUCGAGAGCACAGUCUUCGCUGUGGUGGUGCAAUAGGGUCUCCGACGACGAGUAGUAGUACCACAGGUAAGACGCAGUAAGAAGAUUGACGGAUGGAUGGACAAGGGGCCGAUGCCGAAGGGGACGUAUCGUCUACCGUCAUGGCGGGCACGACCUCUCAUUUGAAAAAAAAAAAAAAGAAUCAAGAGCCCGUCGCUGCUUCCCAUCCAUCAAAUAAAUGGUAGUGGCUUCUUCUUCUUCUUCUCGGGAAAAGAUCGAUCCUGGAGGCCAUUUCGCAUUCUCGCCGAAAUAAAAACAAGCCUAAAUUGAGAAUAGACGUAAUAAAAUAACGUCCAUAUAUAUACACGUAAAAGAUUUAGACACACGAACAAUCUCUUGCACCACCAAGGCCAUUUUGGUAUCAUUCCUUUCAAAUGGGUGCGGGUGCCACUAGACACAAAUUCUGCAGAAAAGAGAGGACUUACCGUCUCAUGUUUGGCACGUAUUACUUAUUCAACAGCUCACCAUUUCUGAUUAAUUAAAUUGAAAUAAAAGAAUUUUCCUUUUUUUUUAAAUUUAACAACGUUUUUUCCUUUUGUAUUCGAAUCUCGUAUAAAGUAAUAAUAAACUACACGCUACACGAAAGUUCGGGCGGCUAUUAUUAUUUUGCUUUUUUUUUUUUGGUUUUACUUCUUGUGUUGUGUGUUGGCUUUGACAAAAUUUUUGUUUUCUCCCUUUCGGUAUUAAUUUCUUAUUUAUUUUUGGCUUGCGUUAGCAACAAAUUGGAAAAAGUAAAUCUCGCGCUCACAGCAUCAGAUGUCUGUAAUUAUUUUUUUAAGUCGAACAAAAAUCAUGAAUUCAUUAACUAGAUGUGUGUAAGUAUUUAAGAAAGAGAGAGGAGUGAAGGAGUAGUGAGAGAGAGAGAAAGGGAGAAUAAGAGGAGGGCAAGGUCGAACAAUCACGAACGGCCGGUUAAAAAUUCUAAGAUAGCAUCGCGAGUCGUCGUCGCAUAGGUAUUUAUACGUUUGGUAAUAAUCCUUUCAAGACUUCACCUGGAUGGGAGACGACGAACUUCGUGAAUGGUGCGAGCCAGCGAAAGAGAAAGAGACAUAGUACAGUAGUUAAAGAAUGGGGGGAAAAAAACAGCUGGAAAAGUGCCCAACAACGAGAGAUGCCAAGACUCAAUGAAGGAGGAAAUCAAAAGACGAUAAUAAUAUCCAAGAGAAUUGCGGAAAAGUGAGAGUGGGACUUUCAAAGCGAUCAAUCGAAGAAGAAGAAGUGGAAAUAAAA
rnacentral:lncRNA from 1 species